rnacentral:rRNA from 1 species
AGUGAACGCUGGCGGUAGGCCUAACACAUGCAAGUCGAACGGCAGCACAGUAAGAGCUUGCUCUUACGGGUGGCGAGUGGCGGACGGGUGAGGAAUACAUCGGAAUCUACUUUUUCGUGGGGGAUAACGUAGGGAAACUUACGCUAAUACCGCAUACGACCUACGGGUGAAAGCAGGGGAUCUUCGGACCUUGCGCGAUUGAAUGAGCCGAUGUCGGAUUAGCUAGUUGGCGGAGUAAAGGCCCACCAAGGCGACGAUCCGUAGCUGGUCUGAGAGGAUGACCAGCCACACUGGAACUGAGACACGGUCCAGACUCCUACGGGAGGCAGCAGUGGGGAAUAUUGGACAAUGGGCGCAAGCCUGAUCCAGCCAUACCGCGUGGGUGAAGAAGGCCUUCGGGUUGUAAAGCCCUUUUGUUGGGAAAGAAAAGCAGCAGGUUAAUACCCCGCUGUUCUGACGGUACCCAAAGAAUAAGCACCGGCUAACUUCGUG